GACGAACGCUGGCGGCGUGCUUAACACAUGCAAGUCGAACGGAAAGGCCCUGCUUUUGUGGGGUGCUCGAGUGGCGAACGGGUGAGUAACACGUGAGUAACCUGCCCUUGACUUUGGGAUAACUUCAGGAAACUGGGGCUAAUACCGGAUAGGAGCUCCUGCUGCAUGGUGGGGGUUGGAAAGUUUCGGCGGUUGGGGAUGGACUCGCGGCUUAUCAGCUUGUUGGUGGGGUAGUGGCUUACCAAGGCUUCGACAGGUAGCCGGCCUGAGAGGGUGACCGGCCACAUUGGGACUGAGAUACGGCCCAGACUCCUACGGGAGGCAGCAGUGGGGAAUAUUGCACAAUGGGCGGAAGCCUGAUGCAGCAACGCCGCGUGCGGGAUGACGGCCUUCGGGUUGUAAACCGCUUUCGCCUGUGACGAAGCGUGAGUGACGGUAAUGGGUAAAGAAGCACCGGCUAACUACGUG
rnacentral:rRNA from 1 species